CUAUCACUAACAUUGUUAGCCUAUUGGGAGGAUCGGCUAAAAGUGCUGUAUUUUUAAAUGCGGGGGUUUAUUAGAGGGCUAUUUGACAAAAGUUUGUCCUUGUUAUUUCACCACAACCCAAGUCCUUUUCACACUGGAAUUUAUUGUUAAGGGACUAAAGUGAAGAAUUACAUUAGUUCUAUAUGUGUAAUAAUGUGUUCAUUCAAAGUAUAUGCUGUAUUGUUGUAAACUGUAUUGUUACACAGCGUUUGUGUGAAAUGUAAAUAACUAUGCUGCGACACAAAAGAUCAGCAGUGUGGUGUUUUGUACUGGCCAGUGUUCUGCGGAGAACAUUAACCACAAUGUCCUGCUCUGAAAGGCUUGUGAUUUGGAAGGCUGGGGACCUGGAAGCAUACCUUCAUCCUUCUCCAUGGACCCCAGGAGCCACUGUUGUAACAUAUAAUGACAAUAAUUCACUUAUGAAUCCCAGCAGCCUCUUCCAUCUGCCUGAAGACUCUUUCCUGAAGCUGAUGUUGGGAGCGAGGACAGUGGGAGGCUUCCUGUGUGAGCGCCUCACAGUGCGGCGCUGUGCCCUCGUCCACAUGCCCCAGCACGAGGAGCAUGAAGAUCCCGCUGUAAAGCUGCUGGUGCUACCUCUCCAUGGCCUGCAGGAGGAGUGGCAUCCUCAUCUUGCUCCUGAGGAGGACUUCCAGCCAUAUGAUCCUGGAUACAUUACAUCGAAGAGUGGCCCACGAUGGACAGACCUCAGUUUAGAAGGUGUUAAAGACAAGAUCCGGGCAAACCUACCUUCUCCAAACGCCCCUCUCAACUACACUUUCCUUGGAGACCCAUCUCACCCGGGGUUGUUUUCACGAAUUGUCCGAGGUGAGGAGCAACAGUGGCGGGUUUGGGAGAAUGAGGAGCACAUUGCAUUUCUCACACCGUUUCCCAACACACCAGGUCUUACUGUACUCAUUCCCCGCAAACCCCUGACCAGUGACAUCCUCCGGCUGGAGGAGGGGGAUUAUAAGGAUCUGGUGCUGGCGACUCGAGAGGUGGCCCGGCUGUUGGAGCAGGGGUUGAGUGCAUGGGGGGUGGGGCUUAUAUUUGAGGGAUAUGAGAUUGACUAUGCUCAUGCUAAACUGAUCCCUUUGGUGCAACCACCUGGCAACCUAACCCACAAUCAAUCAUGCCCAGUUCCUGAGUUUUAUGACAAAUACCCUGGGUUUGUGACAUCAGCCAGUGGACCUCCAGCCAGCGCUGAAAGCUUGAGGAAUAUCCAUGCCAAAAUUACCCAGGUGUCCUAGAACUGAGAGAAACUUUUUUAGUUUUUUUAGUACCAAAGUGAAUAUAUAUGAAAAUAAACUCAAAUUAGAACAGUUCCA
rnacentral:lncRNA from 1 species